CGCACGGGGCCAAGGUACGCACUUACAUUUUUCAGUAACUUCUUAUAUGUUGGCAACAACAUCUUGUGGCAUAUGUUUGUACUACUCAGUAGCAUUGGAUGAGAAACUUUGGCGCAAUCAGGGCGAACACAACAACAAAAAUGAGGUAAAAAUUAUUUUUGUACCUCUUGAUCUAAUUUUUCUUAAAAAUUGAUUGAUUCUAAUUCUUAAUCUUUCAAACUCAGAUUAUUAUUGGUUAGGCAUGUUGAAAGUUUAUUGUUAGAAGUCUUCUUCUACAUGACAGUUUGAAGUUCAUAUGUGCAUAGUUUCAUAUUGAGGUUAGAUAUAUUAUUGGUUGCCGGAUGGGGCAAAAGUACUCACACAAAUGGGGCAAAGGUACGCACUGCUAACGUUGGAAUGGGGCAAACGUUCGCAGUGCGUACCUUUGCCCCCAGUGAGGUAUACUUGGCAAAUGCAUGUUUCAAGUCAAUCUUCAAAGUGAAUAUCAAGUUGAGCUUGAUAUUCUAUCAGCUAAUUUUGUCUCAAUUGCAAAAUGUCUCAAAUCGGCAAAAGUACGCAUUUACAUUUUUUUUUCAAAAAGUUAUCAACACUACAAAAAUAAUGAAGAAUUUCCAUUUGCCUAAUAUGAUUACAAAAUGUAUCAAUUUCACUUUCAUCUAUACUCUGUGCCAAUUCAAGCAUUAGGAGAUUCACUAGAGAUGAAAAUAUAGAAAAUGCGUACAUUUGCCCCCACCUACCCUAUAGGUCAACGUUUGGCACAUAUAGAGAAACUCACUUUCUGAAAUUUUUAGCCCCCUAGGUGGUCACGUCACUCACCUAGAGCCUAAUUCUUUAGGCUUUUUAUGUUUUUAUUUUUUAUCUCAGCCGCAUUGAAAACUAGAGAAAAACUGUAAAUAAAAAAGUUCUGUCCGAA